rnacentral:rRNA from 1 species
ACGGCCAUACCAUGCUGAAUAUACCGGUUCUCGUUAGAUCACCGAAGUCAAGCAUCAUUGGGCGAGGUCAGUACUUGGGUGGGUGACCACCUGGGAACACCGCGUGCCGUU